GUCUUUGUGGUGUAACUGGAAGCACGUCCGGCUAAUAAUCGGAAGGUCUGGUGUCAAAUACCGGCGAAGGAA
rnacentral:tRNA from 1 species